GGGGCAAGCCUACUGNCAGNUCGAACGGAGACGGAGCUGGAAGGGACAGUUUACUGUAACGGAAAGAUCUGUCUUAGUGGCGGACGGGUGAGUAACGCGUGGGCAACCUGCCCUGUACCGGGGGAUAACACUUAGAAAUAGGUGCUAAUACCGCAUAAUAGGGAAUACCGCAUGGUAAUCCUUUGAAAACUCCGGUGGUACAGGAUGGGCCCGCGUCUGAUUAGCCAGUUGGCGGGGUAACGGCCCACCAAAGCGACGAUCAGCAGCCGGCCUGAGAGGGUGGACGGCCACACUGGGACUGAGACACGGCCCAGACUCCUACGGGAGGCAGCAGUGGGGAAUAUUGCACAAUGGGGGGAACCCUGAUGCAGCGACGCCGCGUGAGUGAAGAAGUAUUUCGGUAUGUAAAGCUCUGUCAGCAGGGAAGAAGAAAGACGGUACCUGACCAAGAAGCCCCGGCUAACUACGUGCCAGCAGCCGCGGUAAUACGUAGGGGGCAAGCGUUAUCCGGAUUUACUGGGUGUAAAGGGAGCGUAGACGGCAGGGCAAGUCUGGAGUGAAAGGCAGGGGCCCAACCCCUGGACUGCUCUGGAAACUGUCCGGCUGGAGUGCAGGAGAGGUAAGUGGAAUUCCUAGUGUAGCGGUGAAAUGCGUAGAUAUUAGGAGGAACACCAGUGGCGAAGGCGGCUUACUGGACUGUAACUGACGUUGAGGCUCGAAAGCGUGGGGAGCAAACAGGAUUAGAUACCC
rnacentral:rRNA from 1 species